rnacentral:rRNA from 1 species
CCUACGGGUGGCAGCAGUAGGGAAUAUUGCGCAAUGGGGGAAACCCUGAAGCAGCAACGCCGCGUGGAGGAGGAAGGUUUUGGGAUGGUAAACUCCGUUUGUUAGAGAAGAAAAUGACGGUACCUAACGAAUAAGCACCGGCUAACUCCGUGCCAGCAGCCGCGGUAAUACGGAGGGUGCAAGCGUUACCCGGAAUCACUGGGCGUAAAGAGCGCGUAGGCGGGAUGGCAAGUCAGAUGUGAAAUCCUCUGGCUUAACCCUAGAACUGCAUUUGAAACUGUUAUUCUAGAGUAUGGGAGAGGUAGGUGGAAUUCUUGGUGUAGCGGUCAAAUCCUUAGAGAUCAGGAGGA